UUAAUUAAAACUGAUUAUAAGCCAAAGUUGUGCGAUGCAAUGAUACAGAAAAAACUGAAAGAUGGUGUAAUUCCAACAGUUUUCAGAAACAAGUAAAGAAAAGAAAAACAAAAAAUUCUUUAAAGUCAUCCAUUCAACAGACCAAAUUUAAUGAUUCAAACUCAGAGAAUGUGAUUGUAAAUUUUGAUGAACUUUUGGAAAGUGCCGAGCAGCUUGUAACCGUACAAGAAAGCGACUUUGGUGAAUGUGAAGAAAUAUCAGUUAUGGAUUAUGAGUCAAGCAGUGCCGCUACUUUUGUAGAUGCUGAUUGUCAAUACACAAUACUCACACAACAACUGAAUUUUCUUCGUUUAGAUUUAUUAAAGCAAAAUGAUACUGCAAUUCAUUACUACACUGGAUUUUCCAACUACAAUCAGUUUCAAUUUUUUUUUUCGCUCACUUGGACCAGCUGCUGUCGAUUUAAAUUAUAAACCCUUAAACCUGUCACCAGAAGAACAACUAUUUAUAACACUGUUAAAAUUACGACAAGCCAAAGAAAAUAAAGAAAUUGCCAUCUUGUAUAACA